UUUUGGUCAAGAUUCGAAUGCAUGUGAACAAUUUAUCGAUCAUCUAAGAGUUUCCAACCUAGGGAAUCAAAGAAGAAGGAGGAAGCUCCGGUUCGCAACAAAAAUCUCAAGAACGAGGUAAAACUCAAGCUUAGGUGUUAUUGCCUUGCUCGGACCGAACACACUUUGAACGCCUCUUAUGCGCUUCCGCAACUUUUGAAGUAUCAUCA